rnacentral:rRNA from 1 species
GACGAACGCUGGCGGCGUGCUUAACACAUGCAAGUCGAACGGAAAGGCCCUGCUUUUGUGGGGUGCUCGAGUGGCGAACGGGUGAGUAACACGUGAGUAACCUGCCCUUGACUUUGGGAUAACUUCAGGAAACUGGGGCUAAUACCGGAUAGGAGCUCCUGCUGCAUGGUGGGGGUUGGAAAGUUUCGGCGGUUGGGGAUGGACUCGCGGCUUAUCAGCUUGUUGGUGGGGUAGUGGCUUACCAAGGCUUUGACGGGUAGCCGGCCUGGGAGGGUGACCGGCCACAUUGGGCCUGAGAUACGGCCCAGACUCCUACGGGAGGCAACAGUGGGGAAUAUUGCACAAUGGGCGGAAGCCUGAUGCAGCAACGCCGCGUGCGGGAUGACGGCCUUCGGGUUGUAAACCGCUUUCGCCUGUGACGAAGCGUGAGUGACGGUAAUGGGUAAAGAAGCACCGGCUAACUACGU